AUAAUCCUUCUCCUUUAACCCGACGCAUCUCUCCCGACCCCCUCUCCUCGGUUCCCAUCGCGCGAUCUCCGACGAUUAGGCAUCGACGCCGACGACCAUCUCCUCGCGCUACCGCCUCCUCUCCACUCUCCCUCCUUAGGCGAGGAAUCUUCCUCCCUCUCCCUCUCAAGGUGUGGAGCCUUUCUCCUCUCCUUCUCUUCCCCAAUUCAUUGCCCCCUCGACAACCUCUCUGUUCGAUCCAUUCUUCAUCGACGACGACGCCACAAGGAAGCCGAUCGCCGGCAACCGGUUGUCAAAUUUGAGUGGGGCGGCAGCAAUUUGGGUCAAGGAGGUCCUGCUCUUCUUCCUCACCAGAUCUUGGAUAGAGGGAUCCAACAUUGUCUAUCUCCCUUCACUGGGGCCUAAUUUGUUGCCGGCGAAGUUUCUGUGAGGCCAAUGAUUGGGACUUUCUCCUCACUUGCCACCUCCAGGGGAUGAACAUUCAAGGUAUUCCAUCUAGGAGAGAUCUUGGAUAUGGUACAAGGGAGUUCUUGGUGGCUGUGGGCAAAGGUUAGUAGGGGAUGUGAGCUCUUGAUUUGUGGCCAUGCCUCAAGGUUAUGUCUGGUUUAGAGCACAUGGAAGCGUGUAGAAGGAUUUGUUGUAGUUUUGGCCAGGAGUUUCCAGUAUCAUGCUUCUUCGGAUGAGUCAACAUUGAAGUCUCUGGAUUUGGGACCUUGAUAUGAGAUGAUUAUCACGACGUGAGAUUUAUUUUGGACACGAUCUACAGAUAAAGGUAGAUGGUUGGAGUGUCGCUCGGAGUAUCCUGUCUGCCGGGUCCUACCUCACAUCCGAUGAUUGUUUCUGGUUUUGUAUAAGUUGUAUUUGUAUUCGGUAUUUGUUGUAUUUGGUGUGUUGUUGUAUUUGUUGUUGUGGUUGUUGUAUAAAGCCUAGCUGGCUAGUAGUGUGUUGGUUGUUGUAUUGGGCUUUUCGUUAUCGUUUUUCCGCUGUGUUGGUUUAAUACAGCCGAGUGGGCUGUCUAUUGUAUAUAUAUAACUGCGUGAUUGUGUUUUAUUCUUGUUUAAGCAUAGUGGGCUGAUUUUAUAA